rnacentral:rRNA from 1 species
CUGGCCUACGGGAGGCAGCAGUGGGGUAUUUUGGACAAUGGGCGCAAGCCUGAUCCAGCUAUUCCGCGUGUGGGAUGAAGGCCCCCGGGUUGUAAACCACUUUUGUAGAGAACGAAAAGACACCUUCGCAUAAAGGGUGUUGCUGACGGUACUCUGAGAAUAAGCACCGGCUAACUACGUGCCAGCAGCCGCGGUAAUACGUAGGGGGCGUGAGUUAAUCGGAAUUACUGGGCGUAACGGGUGCGCAGGCGGUUGAGUAAGACAG